rnacentral:rRNA from 1 species
GACGAACGCUGGCGGCGUGCCUAAUACAUGCAAGUAGAACGCUGAAGGAGGAGCUUGCUUCUCUGGAUGAGUUGCGAACGGGUGAGUAACGCGUAGGUAACCUGCCUGGUAGCGGGGGAUAACUAUUGGAAACGAUAGCUAAUACCGCAUAAGAGUAGAUGUUGCAUGACAUUUGCUUAAAAGGUGCAAUUGCAUCACUACCAGAUGGACCUGCGUGGUAUUAGGUAGUUGGUGGGGUAACGGCCCACCAAGGCGACGAUACAUAGCCGACCUGAGAGGGGGGUCGGCCAACCUGGGACUGAGACACGGCCCAGACUCCUACGGGAAGCAGCAGUAGGGAAUCUUCGGCAAUGGACGGAAGUCUGACCGGGCAACGCCGCGUGAGUGAAGAAGGUUUUCGGAUCGUAAAGCUCUGUUGUAAGAGAAGAACGAGUGUGAGAGUGGAAAGUUCACACUGUGACGGUAUCUUACCAGAAAGGGACGGCUAACUACGUG